rnacentral:lncRNA from 1 species
GUAACAAAGUUUUAUUUGUUAUACUUCAGUUAUUUGACCUGGUUUUUUCGAUAUAUAAAUUGACCUGGUUUUUUCGAUAUAUAAAGCAAAUGGCAGACAAAAAAGGAGGUUUUUUCAAAAUUGGUUCAAGUAAUAAUCGACAAAAAACAUUUCGUCCAAAAAAGAAGUGGGAAUCAAACUCAAUAAAAUACCAGCUACACAAGAAAG